CCUACGGGGUGCUGCAGUGGGGAAUAUUGGACAAUGGGCGAAAGCCUGAUCCAGCCAUGCCGCGUGUGUGAAGAAGGCCUUCGGGUUGUAAAGCACUUUCAGUGGGGAAGAAAGCCUUGGGGCUAAUACCCUCGAGGAAGGACAUCACCCACAGAAGAAGCACCGGCUAACUCCGUGCCAGCAGCCGCGGUAAUACGGAGGGUGCGAGCGUUAAUCGGAAUUACGGGGCGUAAAGCGCGCGUAGGCGGUCUGAUAAGCCGGUUGUGAAAGCCCCGGGCUCAACCUGGGAACGGCAUCCGGAACUGUCAGGCUAGAGUGCAGGAGAGGAAGGUAGAAUUCCCGGUGUAGCGGUGAAAUGCGUAGAGAUCGGGAGGAAUACCAGUGGCGAAGGCGGCCUUCUGGACUGACACUGACGCUGAGGUGCGAAAGCGUGGGUAGCAAACAGGAUUAGAUACCCUGGUAGUC
rnacentral:rRNA from 1 species